rnacentral:rRNA from 1 species
AUUGAACGCUGGCGGCAGGCCUAACACAUGCAAGUCGAGCGGUAGAGAGAAGCUUGCUUCUCUUGAGAGCGGCGGACGGGUGAGUAAUGCCUAGGAAUCUGCCUGGUAGUGGGGGAUAACGUUCGGAAACGGACGCUAAUACCGCAUACGUCCUACGGGAGAAAGCAGGGGACCUUCGGGCCUUGCGCUAUCAGAUGAGCCUAGGUCGGAUUAGCUAGUUGGUGGGGUAAUGGCUCACCAAGGCGACGAUCCGUAACUGGUCUGAGAGGAUGAUCAGUCACACUGGAACUGAGACACGGUCCAGACUCCUACGGGAGGCAGCAGUGGGGAAUAUUGGACAAUGGGCGAAAGCCUGAUCCAGCCAUGCCGCGUGUGUGAAGAAGGUCUUCGGAUUGUAAAGCACUUUAAGUUGGGAGGAAGGGCAGUUGCCUAAUACGUAACUGUUUUGACGUUACCGACAGAAUAAGCACCGGCUAACUCUGUGCCAGCAGCCGCGGUAAUACAGAGGGUGCAAGCGUUAAUCGGAAUUACUGGGCGUAAAGCGCGCGUAGGUGGUUUGUUAAGUUGGAUGUGAAAUCCCCGGGCUCAACCUGGGAACUGCAUUCAAAACUGACUGACUAGAGUAUGGUAGAGGGUGGUGGAAUUUCCUGUGUAGCGGUGAAAUGCGUAGAUAUAGGAAGGAACACCAGUGGCGAAGGCGACCACCUGGACUAAUACUGACACUGAGGUGCGAAAGCGUGGGGAGCAAACA